CACAUAUAUCUUAGCAGAAAGUUGGAAAAUGUUGCGUUUGCUUCACACAAGAGCAGCCGUUUCCCCCUGUUGCCAUGGGAACGUUAUGAAGUGACGUAAUUACGCGACGCCAGACAGACUCACGGAGGCGAUUGGCAUCUCACAACUCGCACUUUAUUCCCAAAUCGAACUCGUAUAACUGUCUGUCACACGUUCUACCGUCCACAUCGUUACUUAA